rfam:Staphylococcus capitis strain CR03 genome assembly, contig: BN1517_Contig_1
AGAUUUUGAUGAGGAGCAUCAAUCAUGAGUAAAUUUUAGUAUUUUGUCUGCUAACAACUAAUUUUGAAAGGGUGCGAUGCCGAAACAAUUCAUAAUAGCAGUUAUGAGUCGUUGGACUUUUUGGUUAAGAGCUGAAAGUUUGUCAUUAUUACUAAAUAAUGGAGUGCAUCACUUGUA